rnacentral:rRNA from 1 species
GUGUAAGCUACUAAGGGCGCACGGUGGAUGCCUUGGCGUCAAAUGCCGAUGAAGGACGUGGUACACUGCGAUAAGCCUCGGGGAGUCGUGUGCAGAUGUUAUAUCCGAGGAUGUCCGAAUAGGGAAACCUGCUAGGGGUUAAUGCUCUAGCACUGCUUUCUGAACACAUAGGUUAGCAGAGGGAACGAGGUGAACUGAAACAUCUUAGUAACCUCAGGAAAAGAAAUAAUUCCCUAAGUAGUGGCGAGCGAAAGGGGAAAAGCCCAAACCGUUGUCUUUAUGGCAGCGGGGUUGUAGGACUCGCGCAUAGGAGUUACAAAUCUAUCUGGUAGUAGAACCUUCAGGAAAGUUGGACCAUAGAGGGUGACAGUCCCGUAUGCGAAAUCGGAUAGACUCCUGCGAUGUUCCUGAGUACGGCGGGGCACGUGAAACCCUGUCGGAAUCUGGGAGGGCCACCUCCCAAGGCUAAAUACAUUUGACGACCGAUAGUGAACAAGUACCGUGAGGGAAAGGUGAAAAGCACCCCGGUAAGGGGAGUGAAAUAGAACCUGAAACCGUGCGCCUACAACCGGUCGGAGCACUAUGGCCUUCGGGCAAUGUGUGACGGCGUGCCUUUUGGAGAAUGAGCCAGCGAGUUAAUCUCAGUGGCGAGGUUAAGUCAGCGACAGACGGAGCCGUAGCGAAAGCGAGUCUUAAUAGGGCGAUGUAGUUGCUGGGAUUAGACACGAAACCAGGUGAGCUACCCAUGGGCAGGCUGAAGCGAGGCUAAUCCCUCGUGGAGGGCCGAACUCACUAAUGUUGCAAAAUUAGGGGAUGACCUGUGGGUAGGGGUGAUAUGCCAAACGAACUUGGAGAUAGCUUGUUCUCUCCGAAAUAGCUUUAGGGCUAGCGUCGCAUGUUUAGUAUAGGGGGUAGAGCACUGGAUGAGCUAGGGGGCGCGAGCUUACCGACCUCAACCAAACUCCGAAUACCUAUACUCUAAAGUGCGGCAGUCGGACUAUGUGAGAUGAGUUUCAUAGUCGAGAGGGAAACAACCCAGACCGUCGGCUAAGGUCCUUAAGUCUAUGCUAAGUGGGAAACGAUGUGAGAGUGUUUAGACAGCCAGGAGGUUGGCUUAGAAGCAGCCACCCUUUAAAGAGUGCGUAAUAGCUCACUGGUCAAACGCUUUUGCGCGGAAAAUGUAACGGGGCUUAAGCAUAGCACCGAAGCCUCGGACUUUGACAGUUCUGCGGAAUUGUUGGAGUGGUAGGAGAGCGUUCUGUAGGAGAUACAAGGGUGAUCGAAAGGACAUCUGUGGCCUACAGAAGUGAGAAUGCUGGCAUGAGUAGCGUAAAACAUGUGAGAAACAUGUUCCCCGUAAACCUAAGGUUUCCGACGCAAGGUUAAUCCGCGUCGGGUUAGUCGGUCCUUAGCCGAGGCCGAAAGGCGUAGGUGAUGGACAUCCGGUUAAUAUUCCGGAACCACCUAAGUGGAGCGAUGGGGGGACGCAGCGUGGUAGGUCAGCCCCUUAUUGGAUUGGGGUGCUAAACGUGUAGGAUUAGGAUGGGUGUAGGUAAAUCCGCACCCGGAGUCUGAGGCGUGAUAGCGGUGCCUAUAGAGCCAGAAGUGAUUGAGCCAGGCUGCCAAGAAAAACCUCUAAGUGAUGAUAUUUAGGUGACCGUACCGCAAACCGACACUGGUAGGUGGGUAGAGUAUACCAAGGGGAUCGAGAGAACCUUCGUUAAGGAAUUAGGCAAAAUGCCCCCGUAACUUCGGGAUAAGGGGGGCCUCUGCUGGUGAUACUAUUCGUUGAGCUGGUGGAGGCCGCAGAGAAACGGCUCUUUCAACUGUUUAACAAAAACACAGGUCUCUGCUAAGUCGAAAGACGAUGUAUAGGGGCUGACGCCUGCCCAGUGCUGGAAGGUUAAGGGGAGAGGUUAGCGAAAGCGAAGCUUUGAACCGAAGCCCCAGUGAACGGCGGCCGUAACUAUAACGGUCCUAAGGUAGCGAAAUUCCUUGUCGGGUAAGUUCCGACCCGCACGAAUGGCGUAAUGAGAGGAGCACUGUCUCAACGAGGGACUCGGCGAACAUUGAAGUACGUGUAAAGAUGCGCGUUACCCGCAGCAGGACAAAAAGACCCCGUGAAGCUUUACUACAGCUUGGCAUUGAGUUAGGGCUUAUCUUGUGUAGGAUAGGUGGGAGGCUUUGAAGCUGGGACGCCAGUCUCGGUGGAGCCAUCGUUGAAAUACCACCCUGGCUAAGUCUUGGCUCUAACCCGCGACCGUCAUCCGGCGUAGGGACAGUGCCUGGUGGGUAGUUUGACUGGGGCGGUCGCCUCCGAAAGUGUAACAGAGGCGCCCAAAGGUUCCCUCAGGCUGAAUGGAAACCAGCCGUAGAGUGUAAAGGCACAAGGGAGCUUGACUGCAAGACAUACACGUCGCGCAGGUACGAAAGUAGGGCUUAGUGAUCCCACGGUUCCAUGUGGUAGGGCCGUGGCUUACCGGAUAAAAGCUACUCCGGGGAUAACAGGCUAGUCUUGUCCAAGAGUUCACAUCGACGACAAGGCUCGGCACCUCGAUGUCGGCUCAUCGCAUCCUGGGGCUGGAUAAGGUCCCAAGGGUUGGACUGUUCGUCCAUUAAAGCGGUACGUGAGCUGGGUUCAGACCGUCGUGAGACAGGUCGGUCUCUAUCCGCUGUGGGCGCAAGGGAUUUGAGAGGGGCUGCCCCUAGUACGAGAGGACCGGGGUGGACAGACCUCUAGUGUGCCAGUUGUACCGCCAGGUGCAUCGCUGGGUAGCUACGUCUGGCAGAGAUAACCGCUGAAAGCAUCUAAGCGGGAAACUUGCCUCAAGAUUAGAUCCCUCAUCCGUUAUGGAGUAAGACCGCUAGGAGACCACUAGCUUGAUAGGCGGCAAGUGUAAGUGCAGUAAUGUACUCAGCUAAGCCGUACUAAUGGUCGAGGGCUUACGAUA